AUUGAACGCUGGCGGCAUGCCUUACACAUGCAAGUCGAACGGCAGCACGGGUGCUUGCACCUGGUGGCGAGUGGCGAACGGGUGAGUAAUACAUCGGAACAUGUCCUGUAGUGGGGGAUAGCCCGGCGAAAGCCGGAUUAAUACCGCAUACGAUCUACGGAUGAAAGCGGGGGACCUUCGGGCCUCGCGCUAUAGGGUUGGCCGAUGGCUGAUUAGCUAGUUGGUGGGGUAAAGGCCUACCAAGGCGACGAUCAGCAGCUGGUCUGAGAGGACGACCAGCCACACUGGGACUGAGACGCGGCCCAGACUCCUACGGGAGGCAGCAGUGGGGAAUUUUGGACAAUGGGCGAAAGCCUGAUCCAGCAAUGCCGCGUGUGUGAAGAAGGCCUUCGGGUUGUAAAGCACUUUUGUCCGGAAAGAAAUCCUUGGCCCUAAUACGGUCGGGGGAUGACGGUACCGGAAGAAUAAGCACCGGCUAACUACGUG
rnacentral:rRNA from 1 species